rnacentral:lncRNA from 1 species
AAAAGAGGCUGCAGAUUCUUAGUGGACAGCUCUCAUAUCCCCUCCAGGGAAAAUGAUGAAAAAUGUCUUCAGAAAAAUAGCUUUAUGAAGGCAAGAGGACUUUUUGCACCUGCAAGACAUGUCUGAAAGCUCCUCAGGUCAAAACACAAGUAGUCAAGAGAUUUGUCCAUCUAAUUCAUCAUACUACUCUGAUCCAAGUGAGACCCACACUGGGUCAGCUCCAUCAAGGAGAAGAACAUUCCACCCACGUUUGGAUUCUGGAAUAUCAUCCUUGCUUCCAUCAGAUUCUUGUAAGUACCUCACUUGGCACAAGGUAGACAUGACGUUCAAGGAAGUCAACUGCGUUGCCCAAGAGUAAGAGAAGGAAUCUCUGAAGAAGAGCAACUUUUCAGACAGGUAGAGUGUGCCUUGCUCCCAAGGAAAAGAGUUCUUGAAAAAAACAAAUGGGAAACAUGGCUACAAGAAAACUGGGAAGACUGCAAGAAAAUCUCAGAAUCUGCUUGAGAAUCCGGUCCUUCUUCCUCCAUACACCCAUGGAACACUCCCAAACUCUGUAUGCUGCUCACUAAUUCUGAUUAAGGUCUUCACCCUCCCUACCUUGGAAAUUGCUACAACAUAAUUGUGUUU